rnacentral:lncRNA from 1 species
GCCGCCGCGGAGCCGGCGUCCGCAGCGGCUGCGCAUCUCGGGCCUGCAGCGGGGCGCUUGGCGGGCGGGGGCCGGGGGAGAGCCUGUUUGCGCAGUACCCCCGGAGGGCGGAAGGCCGCCGAGAGAACAGCAAGUGACAGAGCAGAGGAACGGCUGGCCCAGCCAAUCCUGGAGCUGCUGUUGCAGCACUUGUUCCCCAAACAAGUGCUCCUACAUUCUGAGGACUCAGGAGAGUGCAGCUUGCUCUGUGAGUGGGUGACAACCUCUUGGCGACUCAGGCUCAGCUGAGGAUGGUGCCAGUGUGCCGGAGACAGCCGUCAUACUGCCGGAUAGAGUGGCUCACUUGCAUGUAUUUGGAACAAAAAAAGGAGAUGCCUGGCAGCCCCGCUCUCUGCAGUGCUGUUGAGCCACCAAUUUUUGUGGUUUUGUGACCACAAGUGCUGACUGAUGCGACAUGACCCCAGUCUUGUCAGUGAAUCAUCACCAGGCUGCUUACUGGAAACUGGAUGCAGCAAGGAAAUAGGAUUUAACCGCUCUCUGCCUCCCAGGUAAGUCCAGUGUGGGCUGCUCCCUCCAGCCUUCCCCCAUCCUCCUUCCUUCCCACGAACACCAUUUUCCUUAUUCCGCCGGGGAAUCCUCAGACGUCUCCAUUCAGAAUCUCCCAAACGAUUGUUCUCUUUUUUGCAUUCUUCUCCUUCUGGCUUUUCUGUGUGGGGUUAGUAACCAGCACAGGGUUGGGGGCAGAAUGGGCAGCUGAAGUGGUCGGGCUGUGCGGACGUGUGGGAGAUAGCUGGGUAGUGUUGCUGGGUGUGGCAGUUGGCAGAGCAUUUGGGCCUCCCACAGUAAUAGAAACUCUCUUUGGCUCCAGCAUCCAGCAGGAGGUUCUGGGUUUAACCCCUCGGUAAUCCUGGGAG